CGGCCACCUGACCUAGGGCGCCGUUGUUAUUAGGAGCGGCGAGGCGGGAGGCGCGGGGCAGCGGGGCUGGGCUCCGGCCGGGAGUCAGACGAGGGAGCGCGCGCGCGCUCCCGGACAGUUCUCCGCAGCCGCUCGCCCGAGCCUUCUACUUGGCCAACACAGCUGCCUCUACCACCUCGCGUGCCCGGUUCGUGGGCUUUCAGUUACCAAGCAUGUCCUGAAGAUGAAGAUACUCUCAGCCUAACGUCUCCAAGCAAAUAUUGAUUCAGCAGUAUCCCCAGGCAAAGCCACACCAUAUAUCAGUGAACAGAGAAACAACUGCCCUUCUCCGGGCCCCUGUCUGAGAAGCUGGAGCAUCAGCCCUGGAGCUCUCCGGAGCAGUUUCCUUGCUCACUGUCCCCAGCUGAACACAGGUUGGUCAGAUCUACUCCCGUUCCCACUCUGCCCCCAUCUCUCCCCUCUGUGCUUGCCAAGCAGUAAGUAGACUGCUCAUAUUUGUGGAAUGAGUAGUGUGUUGGUGUCCCCAGUAGCAGACCUGGCAAUGAGACUUCAUGUGCCAUAUGAAGGGAGUGUUCCAGGGGACAAAAAUAAGGGAAUAGAGAUAGGACAAGGGUGGGUGAGGGGGCAGAGCACUGGAGUUGGGCUGUCCCCCUCACCUCCACUCCUAAACGUCAGACUGCAGGGUUCUUCAAGGAACACAGAAACUCAGGCAUGUGUGCCGAAGCAAUGGCAGGAAGCAAUGAGGACCUGGGUGGGGUGCCUGUGUCUGUCAGUACAACUGUCUGGCUUUCUACUGCUGUGAUGAAAUACUGUGACCAAAAGCCACUUGGGUAGGAAAGAGGUUAUUUUACAUUACAGCUUCUAAGUCCACCACUGUGGGAAAGCCAGGGCAGAAACCUAGAGCAGAAACCAAGGAAACACUGCCUACUGGCCUGUUCUCAUGGUUUGCCCAUCCUGUUUUCUUAUACCAUCUAGGACCACUUACCCAUGGGUGCCACUGCCCACAGUGAGAUGGACCCUCCCACAUCAAUUAUCAGUCAAGAAAAUGUCCCACAGACCAAUUCUGUGGAGGGACAUUUUUUUUCAGUUGAUGGUCUCUUCCCAACUGAUUCUAGCUGUGUUGAGAUGACAUAAAUAGUAGCCAGCAUACCAUCCAAACAGACAGCAAAGCCAAGGCAGCCUUCAGGCCUGCUGUCACUUCAUCCUGUCCUUCCUAGGACCAGAGGGGAUACUGCCUGCUCAGGAAAGCCAAGAGGAGCCUGCUUCUCCUGAAAUGUAAAAAGUACACUGUGCAUAUGGAAAGCAUUAUUGUGUUUCACUGUGCAUCGCCAGAUUCUUCUUGCAAAACAUUGAAGCUUAGCUCAUAAUUUGGUGAUAAAAUAUUGAUUAUUUAUCCACAGCCGCAUGCAGAGGUCCAAAGCACGUAAACAGGAUACCCACCCUGCAUUAUCUUAUAUUUUAAGUCAAUAUGAAGAUGGACAUUCUACCCCUGAGACCAAUUUCGAUCAAAUACUUUUGUCAAUAAAAAGAUACUAAUGUCCGAGUGUGUCCAUUCCUCCUGUUGGUCUGGGUUCUGCUUCUCCACACACCAGCUGCCUCCAAGAGAGGCUUCCAUACUCCAGCAGCUCCUGGUCAGCCUGCACUUUCCUUUAUUCAAGCCAUGUGAGUGAGAAAUAUCAAGGGCAUGGUGGGUUGGCGGGGAGCUGCCCACUUAACCCCAUACCCCAGUGAGUGGGAAUGAAGAUAAAGCGAAUACAACUUACAAGCAUAUCUGGGAGACGCUUCACUGCUAUCCUUAGCAACUGCUUGUCUUCUGCUUCCAAGACAGAGCAGAGGUGUGGACCGUCUCUGAGCAGCUGCCCUGCUUGCCUACCCGGCAGGUAGGCUACCUGAAUCUCAGGUAGAACCUCUUCCUAAUUUUUUUUUCACUUCUAAAUUGUUUAUUGGGUAUGAAUUUUACAAGUGUUACUUGUAUUAGCAGUAACAGUGGAGUUGAAGAGUAUUAUAUGUUUCUAGGCUGCGCAGUGAGAGCCACAAUAGUGAGGUAAAACAGAUGUGGCCCAUUUCAAGGCCACAGCUCUUACUGAUGGCAGAUUCAGCUCGCUCACACCUCUCUGGGUUUGUGGGCCUGGUUUAGUGAUCCAGUGAGUGUCACAAUGUCUUCUUCUAGCCUUAUGGAAUGGAUCAUGUCCUUCCUACCAGAAAAGGGAAACACAGACACUCAGAGAUCUUUAGCUUCAUUCGCUGCUACAUGCACAAUGUCUGAAUGCUAGAUAAAUGUACCUGUCUGCUUCAUUGGUUCAUCUCACACACUGGGCUAUGACUAGGCAGGAGAACUCUGGGAUUUACCAGUGAACCAAACAGGCAUUCCAGUGGGCUCUCAAACAGCAGUAAUGAAUAAAUGCUGGUUAGACUGGGUUAGUCAGCGACUGCAGUAGAAGGAAGGAGGCAAUGUAAGAAGACUGAGAAUUGCAGCUUUAAACAGAGAAGGCAAAUGUGAGCCAGACCACCACGAGAGGGUGGAGGAGCUGGAGGGAUCGCUGUAGAGGGGAAGGGCAGAAUUUCCAGGCACUUGCAGGAGCCAGUGCCAGCAUCCCAGGGCAGGGAUGUGCCUGACCUAUUUGAAGAAAACUGAGUGCCUGAGAUGAAGGGAGUUGAAUGCUCAUGAUUAAAUCAGAAGAAUGAGUCUAAGCUUCCUGGGGUCUCCUUAACCACCCUGCACCACACAGAGCCUCCAGGGAGAGUAUACAAAGACACGACAGGACCCUGGACACAGCUGGCAAGAAGCAACAAGCCCAGCAUUUCUUUUUCAGGUAACAAAGCCACUUGUAACUGGCAAUGUCCUGAUUGGACCUGGACAUACAAACUCUAGGCCAGGGAAACUUGAGGG
rnacentral:lncRNA from 1 species